rnacentral:tRNA from 1 species
AGAAAUUUAGGUUAAACAUUAAACCAAGAGCCUUCAAAGCCCUAAAAAGGAGACAAAACCCCCUAGUUUCU